rnacentral:rRNA from 1 species
UCGGGAAUUUUGGGCAAUGGGCGAAAGCCUGACCCAGCAACGCCGCGUGAGGGAUGAAGUAUUUCGGUAUGUAAACCUCGAAAGAAUGGGAAGAAUAAAUGACGGUACCAUUUAUAAGCUCCGGCUAACUACGUGCCAGCAGCCGCGGUAAUACGUAGGGAGCAAGCGUUGUUCGGAUUUACUGGGCGUAAAGGGCGCGUAGGCGGCGCGGUAAGUCACUUGUGAAAUCUCUGAGCUUAACUCAGAACGGCCAAGUGAUACUGCUGUGCUAGAGGGCGGAAGAGGCAACCGGAAUUCUUGGUGUAGCGGUGAAAUGCGUAGAUAUCAAGAGGAACGCCUGAGACGAAGGCGGGUUGCUGGGCCGACACUGACGCUGAUGCGCGAAAGCCAGGGGAGCAAACG